GACAGAGGGUGCAAACGUUGUUCGGAAUUACUGGGCGUAAAGCGCGUGUAGGCGGCUUGGCAAGUCGGGUGUGAAAGCCCCGGGCUCAACCUGGGAAGUGCACUCGAAACUGCUUGGCUUGAGUACUGGAGAGGGAAGCGGAAUUCUCGGUGGUAGAGGUGAAAUUCGUAGAUAUCGAGAGGAACACCGGUGGCGAAGGCGGCUUCCUG
rnacentral:rRNA from 1 species